rnacentral:rRNA from 1 species
CCUACGGGAGGCAGCAGUGAGGAAUAUUGGUCAAUGGCCGAGAGGCUGAACCAGCCAAGUCGCGUGAGGGAAGAAUGUCCUAUGGAUUGUAAACCUCUUUUGUCAGGGAGCAAAGUCACCCACGUGUGGGUGUGGGAGAGUACCUGAAGAAAAAGCAUCGGCUAACUCCGUGCCAGCAGCCGCGGUAAUACGGAGGAUGCGAGCGUUAUCCGGAUGUAUUGGGUUAAAGGGUUGCGUAGGCGGGUUAUCAAGUCAGCGGUAAAAUCGUGGAGCUCAACUCCAGCCAGCCGUUGAAACUGAUGAUCUUGAGUGGGCGAGAAGUAUGCGGAAUGCGUGGUGUAGCGGUGAAAUGCAUAGAUAUCACGCAGAACUCCGAUUGCGAAGGCAGCAUACCGGCGCCCGACUGACGCUGAAGCACGAAAGCGUGGGUAUCGAACAGGAUUAGAUACCCCUGUAGUC